AAUAAUUUUUGGAAAGAAAGUGGUCAUCGGGUGUCCUCCACUCUUCCCCCCUUAACGGCGAUACUCUCACUCUUCUCGGAAUCUCCGGCGACCCAACAAUGGACGGCGGCCAACGGAGAAUGUCCAUAGACAAUGAGAAGCUGCCAAUCAGUCCUAAGGCAUUAGGUGUGCAUGAUCCAUCGCUCAAUCAAGUAGGCCACAGUAAUUCCCCCACUUUUGCUGCCAAUCGUGAUCCAAUACAAAAUGGAUCUGCUGAGGCAGUCAUCUGCAAUUCCAAGAAACUUGAGGAUGCAAUGCAGGAGUUUGGUCUUAAAAUUAAGCACCAUGAAGAUAAUGUCAAAUACUUGAAGGCUGUGAAGAACGAGUUGGAUGAUUCAAUUUUGGAUAUACGAGUUGCUCUUGGCACGACUAAAUCAGCAAGUGAAACUGG
rnacentral:misc_RNA from 1 species